CAGAAGGAUGAAUGGCACUGGGCUCUGACGGCAAAGCCGGUCAUGACAGACAUGCCCCAUUGUGGCAGGCCUAGAAAACCUCGCCCACUGAUC
rfam:Trichophyton benhamiae CBS 112371 Abenha-G-c-321f20.f1, whole genome shotgun sequence.